rnacentral:lncRNA from 1 species
GCUCGAUAAGUUGUGAGACUUUGGUUGACUGCAUCACUAGAUCUCCAGCUCAGAACUCUUUUGGCUUGAUCGGGACAAAACUCCGCUUCUUUUGCUUUAUCGAUCGAUAGAUUGGGUCCACCCUUAGGUGAUGGGAUAUCACCUCAGAAUCGAUGCCGAACAUAUCUGCAGUAGAUCGGAUGAAAAGAUCCAUAUUUUUCUGCAAAAGAUUUAUUAGUCGACAUUUGGUUACUUCAUCUAGUCGCGAGCCAAUUUUCACCAUCCGGUUCGGAUUCUCCUUUCUCAGCGUGACAUCUAAAAGGUCCUCCUUAGCAUCCAAGCCUAUCGGGAGCUCGAGCUGGAUCUCUGCUG